AUUUUGUUUACAAAUUUAGUGAAUAGACCCCAGACUAUCACCCAUUUAUGGGAAUACUAUAUUAUAGUAGAAUAAAUACAUUCCAAAAAGUAAUCAUGUCUAUAGUACUUAUUAUUUUAGCCUCUGAAUGACUGCUGAGAGUUUAAUAUGUUUUUUUUGUGUUUUUUUUAAAGCUUAGAAUAAAAUGCACGAUUUAAGAUAUAAAAGUAUAUAGAAAUAUAUUUAUCUUCAAGUAACAUACUAAUUAAUAUAAAUCGGUUUAACAAAUAUGUUCACAAUUAUGUUAUUGUAAUCAAGCUAUUGAAAAUGUAUUGUUUUAAAGCCAUGCCAGAUAUCUUCAAAACUUGCUUCAAUCGAACAGAGAGAAUAACAGUUAUUCACUAAAUCUGACUGCAAGAGAUAUCGUAGCCAAUCAGAACUUUGGUUUCCAGAAUCAAACCAUAAGCAUUUCACUGUGAUUGGAUGAUAACAUGCAGCUAGAAUGGUAAAAUGUAACUGCAAUGCCUCAAAUUCUAAUUCAGGAAAUCGUAGUGAGUUGAUUUGUUGACCAGAUUUAAAAGCAUAUCUAUCUAAUAAUGGAAAAGGUAUUUUAAUGGACGAUGAGAAUGAAAAGAGAUUUCUGUAUACUAAGCACUGUAAAUGUCCUAGAUGUUUUACUGUGUUGCUCUAAAAAUCUAAAUUGUUACUUGGAUUGCUGUUUCUCAAUAAAGGUUUGUACACAAUGCUCUGACGUUUAGUGAUUAA